AUUGAACGCUGGCGGCAGGCUUAACACAUGCAAGUCGAGCGGAGCGGCGGACGGGUGAGUAAUGCUUAGGAAUCUGCCUAUUAGUGGGGGACAACUACGCGAAAGCGUAGCUAAUACCGCAUACUAUUGGAGCGGCCGAUAUCGGAUUAGCUAGUUGGUGAGGUAACGGCUCACCAAGGCGACGAUCCGUAGCUGGUUUGAGAGGACGACCAGCCACACUGGGACUGAGACACGGCCCAGACUCCGACGGGAGGCAGCAGUGGGGAAUUUUGGACAAUGGGGGCAACCCUGAUCCAGCCAUCCCGCGUGUGCGAUGAAGGCCUUCGGGUUGUAAAGCACUUUUGGCAGGAAAGCGGUACCUGCAGAAUAAGCACCGGCUAACUACGUGCCAGCCGCCGCGGUAAUUC
rnacentral:rRNA from 1 species